UGAAGUAGAUGUUGUCGC
rnacentral:siRNA from 1 species